CAAAUAUAUGUCAAAUAUAUCUUAAUUUAAUCCUAGUUAAAAACUUAUUAGACUUCAUUCAAACUUUAAGCCAAAAAUUAAUUAAAUCUUAAAUCCUAAAUAAAGCCUAAUAAAAUCCUAAAUCCUAAACCAAAUUCUAAAUCCUAAACCAAAUCUUAAUCAAAUCCUAACCAAAUCUAAAUCCUAAAUCAAACUCUAAUCAGAUCCUAAAUCCUAAAUAAAAUCCUAACCAAAUCUAAAUCCUAAAUCAAAUCCUAAUCAAAUCCUAAAUUCUAAACCAAAUCCUAACCAAAUCCUAAAUC
rnacentral:lncRNA from 1 species